UACGAAGGGGGCUAGCGUUGCUCGGAAUCACUGGGCGUAAAGGGCGCGUAGGCGGAUCUUUAAGUCGGGGGUGAAAGCCCAGGGCUCAACCCUGGAAUUGCCUUCGAUACUGGAGAUCUUGAGACCGGAAGAGGUAAGUGGAACUGCGAGUGUAGAGGUGAAAUUCGUAGAUAUUCGCAAGAACACCAGUGGCGAAGGCGGCUUGCUGGGCAUGAUCUGACGCUGAGGCGCGAAAGCGUGGGGAGCAAACAGG
rnacentral:rRNA from 1 species